GGGACCCUUAGAAUGCUUUGCGUGCGAGCAUCUCGAGUGUGAGAGUUUUGGUGGCAACUUGCUGGCUCAAAGAAGAGUUCCCUCCUGAGUGAAGCCAGGAUCCUUCCCCCUUGGAGAGAAGAACACACAGGUGUGCUUUGGGUCCACAGCGUCCCGUUGAUUCAUCCAGCUGAAGUGAGUCCCUGUUGUCCGUGCCUGUGAGAACACCAGGACAGCUUCUCUCUCCCUGCUUCUGGUACAGUAAACCAUGCAUGCUUACUCUAUUACCUUCUUAUUGGGCCUCUUUUUGUAGAAACUUGUUCCAUGGACCAGUGUGUGCGGAGUACAAUGGCUCGCAUUUAAGAGACGCUCAGCGAUUGUUUUCUAGGUGGAACGCAACAUUGCCUCUGCGCUCACCCAGUGGAGAGGAAGGUCUAGUAUCAGUGCCAGCCUGGCAUUUAUUUGGGGUGCUGGGCCUCCCGACUGUAUCUCUGGAUCAGGGAGGGCUUCGAGGAGGGAUUCUUGAGAAAGCCCUUGGUAGAUGCAGAGGAGGUGAAAUCACGUGGGAGUGAGAGAGAGGCUUCAGAGAGCUGCCUGAUUGGAGUUUCUAAGCAACUGUCCAUCUUGAUUGACUGGUUUCCCAGGACCUCAGGGUUUUUCAUGCAGAGCAGACCCAGUAACUACAGGAAGACAAGGGUGGAUGACGCGCAGACUCCUGGGCUGUGGGCUCAGCUCCCUUCCAGUGACCCAGUGGAGCCAGAAGGCACAGGUGACUGGAAAGCAGCCAAAUCUUGGGCCAAUUUUGAGUCCCUAGAUGGGUCACUGUGAGUGUCAGGCCACCGGCACCAAACUGGUGGGCUGCACGUGCAACUUGUCAUGCGUGGUAGCCACACAUUGGUCUGUGUGACCCAGCCCAGGGGAGCCACCCCCUGGAGCGGCACUCUGACACCCUCCACUCUGAUCUAAACACAGGUUUUUAAUUUCCCAGUGUUCUGCCCUUUCUCCCUCUCGCUGGUUGGCUUCUCUGUCACUUCAUUUCCUGCUAUGUUCUCAUCUUACAACAAAGGUGAACAGAGCUGACCUCUCCUUGCCCCAAAGCAGAAUAAAAUACAGAACAGAUUUUUGUGAAUAAAAAUAGAGGCGAAUACCACCAGCCAGUCGCUGUGGGCUCCACAAGGUCCAUCUGGUCUACUUCAUACUGGCCCUACAGUUUCAACCUCAGGGCAGAGAAGCCAAGGCAGGGCCAAGCCCUGGGGCAAGCAGUGGACAGAGGCCAGCUCUCUGAGCCACAGUGAGGCUAGACCAGGUGGUGUUGGACAACUCUUUCCUGUGGAGGGCAGCUGGGAACAUGGUGACCUCCUUUCAAGUUGCCCUUACCAGGGGACCAAGGAGGAAAAAUUGAAAUGGUAAUACCUCGUAGGAAGGAAAUAUCUGGAACGUUGGGGGAAAUUACAAGAAGGAUGCAGAAUAUUUCUUAGAAUAGUAGCAGGGACUGGUUAGAGUCAAACAGAGACCCCAGGUUGGGCCCUUGUUCUUUUGCAAUAGGCUGUGUUACCUUAGGUAAGACGCUUCACCUCUGUUUUGUCAUCUGUGAAAUGGAGACAGUGAGGGAGGUUUUGGAAGUGAACUCGGAGUCAAAUAAGCCACCACGUCUUAUUCAGGAAGUGCCUGUCAUGGGAUCUAUGAUGUACGCUCUUUUCCAUUGGGCUAUUGGCUUGAUUGUCAGUGGGACCCCCUGGGACUUCACACCCCCCAGCUUUAGUCUCUCAGAACUAUCUGGAAGUUUUGUCAGUUUUGUACACAGAAUAAUGCUUCUUCUUGUCCCAGUUUGUGACAGAUGUCUGACUUCAGGGCAGGUUCUCUGCUCCUGUAGUUGCCACUGGGGCACAGCCUCCCAACCAUGCUGACUAGCAGGUAUGCGCUUGUAAACAAUGCAUUAAAUAGCUGGAUGCACAGAUGCUUGCUAUUUUAAGAUAUUAGGUCAAGACAAUUUUAAGUGUGAGUUUAGGUCAUAUUCCUCCAUGUAUUUUCUGCCCCUAUUUAAAUGUAGGUGGGGAAAGGCUUUCUGGGAUACCCCUGGUCUGCAGAGAGCUGUGGCUAGGUUUAGAAGCAGAAGUUGUCUGCAAGACACUUUCCAUCCUCAAUUUUGUUUGUAAGGGUUCUGAAAGUGUUGAAAAAGUAUACUAGAUGCAUGGGAGGUGAGGCGUCAGGAGAGA
rnacentral:sRNA from 1 species